AACCAUAGAAACCUGCGGAGUACCUGCGGAGGGAUCAUUAAAAAAAUGAUGAAUGUCGGGGGGCGUUUUGUUCCCUGUGUAUUCAACCAACCCGCUCUUGUAUUUGGAUCAACCAAAAAUCUAAAAAAGCAAAAUUUAUAAUUAAUAAAAAUAAACUUUCAACAAUGGAUCU
rnacentral:misc_RNA from 1 species